GGGUGCAAUGGCUUGCUUUUUUUUCCCUAGAAAAGUGUUAGGGGAACAGAGCUCCACGAAUGGAACAUAUGGAGGUGGGAUUUUACUGUGUUAAGCUUGCGCUCCACUUUUUUCUUCUGUCUCUAAUUAUUAUUGGGUUGGGUUAUUAUUAUUACAUUUAAUGGGGAAUCUUAGAGUAGAAAAAAAUCAAGAAUCUACUGUCUUCACAGAACUUAUUUUUAUAUUGUAAACCCUUGAGCCUUUUGACUUCAACACCAGUUCACACAAAACCAAAUUAAUCUAUUAAACCAACAAAUGCAAAACCCUCCAAAAUAACAAGUGGUUAUUUCAGACCACAGGUAGAAUAAAUAAAAUCUUAAAUGUUUGAAACGUUUGUUUGUUUGUUUGUUUGUUUUUGAUAAAAAUCAUUACCCUUGAGGAUGCCUCUACCAAAAAUUAAGAAUGUCAUAAAUUUUGGUAACUAACAAUGUAGCUUUCUCUCCAGUUAAAAUUUUCAUCUUUAGAUGAUCUAAGAAUGAAAAAAAGCACAGAGUCUGUAGUUUUUUUUUGAAAUGUCACCACAUUUGUUGUUGUUGUUGUUAAUGGCAGUGAAGUGCUAUUUCAUAAGCUUGACAUUGUAAGUGUUCUUCUAAAUUAAACUCUGGGAUUUGUUAUUUCAGACUUCCUGUUCAGCAAGCCCCAAGCCUCGUGACAGGACUUCUGCUCUGUUUACCAAUAGUGUGAGUCAGGGCUUGUGGUUGUGGCACAGUCAGCCCCACAGCAGCUUUAUCUCCUCUGACUUGAGGGAAGCCACCAAUGGACUGGAAGGGGAAUCUGGAAGAUCCAUUGGUCCUGAGACUUCAACUCUGCAUGCUGUGAUUGCUUUGGCUCUGACCUCGAGGAAUGAAUGUUUUCUGACUUCUGCGUAAAGGCUAGAAGACAAAGAAGAGGUGAGAACAGAGGGAAUAAAGAGCAGAUCUUCCAAUCUCCCAGAAAGUAUGAGAAAGAAAAAGAAAGGUCAAAAGUUGAUCACAAAUACAAUGAAACAGAAACCAGAACGAUGUUGGAUUUCUUAAGAACAGAAAAUAUACAUGAAUAAUUUCAGGUGAGUGAUUGUAAACUCAUUUUAUGAAUUGAAUUUGCCUCUAUGACCCUACCUUAGGAAACCUCAAGGAACUUUUCUACUAAUGUAUCAUAAUGACUUGUCUUGUGCCUAACUCAGAUUAAUACUGUAACACUUGGUAAAUUGUGGUGUGAGGGUUCUGUAUCACUGCUUAGUAAAAGUCAAAGGAGAAUAAGAGAAUGGACUGUAUGUGCCUUGUCUCAGUGGGGUUUGCUGGCACCAAAAUAUUAUACCAUUGUGCAGGUCAGAUGACAUUUGGAUAACAAAUAAUUCUUUAUUUUAUUUUAUUUUAUUUUCCCACUGUACAGCAAGGGGAUCAAGUUAUCCUUACAUGUAUACAUUACAAUUACAUUUUUCCCCCACCCUUUGUUCUGUUGCAACAUGAGUGUCUGGACAUAGUUCUCAAUGCUAUUCAGCAGGAUCUCCUUGUAAAUCUAUUCUAAGUUGUGUCUGAUAAGCCCAAGCUCCCGAUCCCUCCCACUCCUUCCCCCUCCCAUCAGGCAGCCACAAGUAUUUUCUCCAAGUCUAUGAUUUUCUUUUCUGAGGAGAUGCUCAUUUGUGCUGGAUAUUAGAUUCCAGUUAUAAGUGAUAUCAUAUGGUAUUCGUCUUUGUCUUUCUGGCUCAUUGCACUCAGUAUGAGAUUCUCUAGUUCCAUCCAUGUUGCUGCAAAUGGCAUUAUGUCAUUCUUUUUUAUGGCCGAGUAGUAUUCCAUUGUGUAUAUAUACUACAUCUUCCGAAUCCAAUCAUCCGCUGAUGGACAUUUGGGUUGUUUCCAUGUCCUGG
ensembl:lncRNA